CUUCCAGUCUGAGGAAACAGGAUCAGCUGAGGAACUGGUGAGAUAACUCUGGCAGCUGAGUGCAAAAUGGAGAGGGUUUGGAACAGACUAGGAAUGUAAAGCUGCAAAUAUAAAAUCAAGUACAAUCACUUGAAGCAGGUCUCUAUCCACGCGAGGUAUCCUGGAGCUUCUGGCUGCCCAGGUACAUGGCAAAUCCACCUAUAGAAGUGAGCACGUCUAAAGACCCGGAGCUCAGCCAGGAAGCCUUUGCAACGUCUCAGACCUAAAGCGAGAAGAGCCCAGAACAAAGCAUCAACAAAGAGAAUGGAAACCAGCUAGUGAUUUUGGACACUCACAGGAAGGAAAAUCUGUGGUAUUUGAUGAUUCAUGGGAUGGGAGGAGAGCGAGGUCAUAGAAGUGACCCUGAGGUUUGGCCAGCUGGGUGAUCAUUGUUUUGCAACCAGAAAUAGGGAAAAUCAAAACCUAAAACGUUGGGGGAGGAGACAAGAAACUGGAGCAGGGUGGAGGUGUGCCUUUGGGUUGAAGCCACAGCACUUUGAGGAGAUAGGGAGUCCACGAUCAGCAUUUCCUGAAGGGGGUGGACCCAAGCAUACCCACCCCCAACAUCUUGAUGGCUGUGAAGUGUAUGGAUGAGUUUUCUAAGCCAGGGUUUCUGAAUCUGGAGAGCAGAUCCUCGGCCAGAGGAUGUUUUCAAUCCCGUGACACUUCCAGCUCCUUCUUCCCACUGGCCCAGAAACACUACCCCCUACCCCCACCCCCCCAUCCCCAAGACUCAGAAUAAAGACAGGAUGCGGUGACUGCUGCUCACCUUUUCCGGGAGGGGCCCAGAGGAUGUUUACAGGAAAGAUUCCUUUCUGCCUUUGACUUAGGGCCUUCAGAAUAGACAUGGGGACCCCAGUGUGGAAGAAGGCCUAAGGGUCAGCUCAGAUAUAAGUAAAAGAUAAAAGUGAAGUGGAACUUCCCAAGAGACAAGGCAGGAGGGAGGGAGGAGACUGUCCCUUAGUGUGGAAUGACGUCUCAGGUUUUUUUCUGUCGCCUCUUCAGCCCUGCCAUUUUCAUUCCCCGCUCUUUCAAAAUUGCCUUCCAUCUACUAAGAAAAAUACUAAGCAGGGCCUGGGGCAGGAGCAUCCUGUAAAGUACAUGUUUCCCCCAAAUCACCUGAAGCAGUCACCAUGUUCGAAGACCGAAUCAUUGUUAUUGUAGUUGCAUCAGGUGGCGUGAUAGCAAUGAUUAAGUCCACACCUCAUUUGGCACGCAGUGGGGUUAGGUGUGGCCAGCCCUUCUGUUCAGUGGAGUUGUAGAGCUAGGCUCCAACAUCUGGGUAAAUCCUUACCUACCCCUCCCUCGUGGGGUCGCUGUGACCAGUUACCUAGUGUGAUGAUUGAUAUCAGUUGUCAACUUGACAAGUUCCAGGAUCACCUCAGAGAUGCCCCUGGACAUGUUUGGGAGGGGAUUUCCAGGUUUGAUCCUUGAGCUGGGAAGACCCACCCUAAAUGUGGUACCAUCCCAUAAGCUGUGAUCCUGGGCAGAGUCAAAGGGAAGGAUGCCGAGUGUCAGCUUCCAUCAUCUCUGCGAACUGACUGCCGAUGGAAUGUGACUAGCUGCCUCACUCCUGGCGCCAUGACGGAAUGUAAAAUCUCCUUCACCUAGAAGUGGCAGUGAAUCCGUCCUUCCUUAGGGUGCUUCUUGUCGGGUUGCUUUUGGUCAUAACGAUAAAGAAAGCAAUGAAUACACCCACUUUGUUCAUCUUAGAGGCAGAGGUAUACAAUUGUCUAGUGUCUGUAAGGUGCCAAUGAAAAGUGAUUAGCAGAGAAGUGGAAAGGCAGAGAUCUGUGAGGCCUGGCGAUUAUAAGUCUUUGAAAGUCUUCUGCAAUAAAAAGAAGAUAAAUCCAA